UACGAAGGGGGCUAGCAUUGUUCGGAAUCACUGGGCGUAAAGCGCUCGUAGGCGGAUUUUUAAGUCAGGGGUGAAAUCCCGAGGCUCAACCUCGGAACUGCCUUUGAUACUGGGAAUCUCGAGUCCGGGAGAGGUGAGUGGAACUGCGAGUGUAGAGGUGAAAUUCGUAGAUAUUCGCAAGAACACCAGUGGCGAAGGCGGCUCACUGGCCCGGUACUGACGCUGAGGAGCGAAAGCGUGGGGAGCAAACAGG
rnacentral:rRNA from 1 species